CAGUUUUUCCAAAUUCAGGUAGGUAGCCAUGUUGGUCUGAUUCAGUCUAUAUAUAUAUAUAUAUAUAUAUAUAUAUAUAUAUAUAUAUCAUUGUCCAGCAGCACCUUAGAGACCAACUAAGUUUGUUCUUUGUAUAAGCUUUCAUGUGCAUGCACACUUCUUCAAAUACUUCUUCAGAUUAUCUGAAGAAGUGUGUAUGCACACGAAAGCUUAUACCAAGAACAAACUUAGUUGGUCUCUAAGGUGCUGCUGGACAAUUUUUAAUUUUUUUUUAUAUAUUUUGACAGUUAUUCCAACUAAUGUAAAAUUACUAACAAGACACUGAGAUUUUUUUAUAAAUGCAUUUUUAUGAAUGCAUCCCAAAUAUCAUUGUAUUUAUCUAUGCACAAUCAGUGUCUAAAACAGGCAUAGGCAAACUCGGCCCUCCAGAUAUUUUUGGGACUACAACUCCCAUCACCCCUGACCACUGGUCCUGUUAGCUAGGGAUGAUGGGCGUUGUAGUCCCAAAACAACUGGAGGGCCGAGUUUGCCUAUGCCUGGUCUAAAAGCAGUUCAUUCAUAUCUUGUGAGAGUUUUCAUAUCUUCCAUCCAUUGCUCAAAGAGGGACAUGGUAUUAUCUUUCCAAUGAAUCAAUAUCAGUCUUUUGGUGGAAGUUAGGGUGCGGAGAGUACAUCUACAGUGACCUGCUGUCAUACCCCAUGUCAUUGGUAUAUGGUUUAAAAUGAUAUUAGUCAUCAGCACAAUCAGCUUAAGGGGUGAGGAAACCAUUCUUUGGUGCAAAUGCCUCAUUUCCUAUUUUAUUUCACCACAUCUGUUUAUUUUUAGGGCUGUUACCCAAUCGAAGAAAGUUUGGCACAAACAGCAAGCCGCGAAAAACCUCACUUGCUGUUUGCUCCGGUUCAGCAUUAAAGAGCAGGUUUUCCUGGGGAAAGCAGAGGGCUUAAGAAAAAACACCCAGACACGGAUCAGGAAAGUGCAGGCCUAUCUUGUGCCUAGAAAACAUGGGGCUAAACAUAAGUGUGAAUGAACCCACAGUUAAACCAGGCAUUACCUCCUGUGCGAAACAGAAGGACCCAUUUCAAAAUGGCACCCACAAGCUGCAAUUCUUGUAAACCACUUCUACUAAAAGUAAUUAACAAAUUUUUCUCUGGCA